rnacentral:rRNA from 1 species
CCUCGGAGGCUGCAGUGGGGAAUAUUGGACAAUGGGCGAAAGCCUGAUCCAGCCAUGCCGCGUGUGUGAAGAAGGCCUUCGGGUUGUAAAGCACUUUCAGUGGGGAAGAAAGCCUUGGGGCUAAUACCCUCGAGGAAGGACAUCACCCACAGAAGAAGCACCGGCUAACUCCGUGCCAGCAGCCGCGGUAAUACGGAGGGUGCGAGCGUUAAUCGGAAUUACUGGGCGUAAAGCGCGCGUAGGCGGUCUGAUAAGCCGGUUGUGAAAGCCCCGGGCUCAACCUGGGAACGGCAUCCGGAACUGUCAGGCUAGAGUGCAGGAGAGGAAGGUAGAAUUCCCGGUGUAGCGGUGAAAUGCGUAGAGAUCGGGAGGAAUACCAGUGGCGAAGGCGGCCUUCUGGACUGACACUGACGCUGAGGUGCGAAAGCGUGGGUAGCAAACAGGAUUAGAUACCCGUGUAGUC